ACUCCAUCUUCUCCAUAAGAAUACACACACAUACUUUUCUCUCACAACACACACACCAUCUCAUAUCUCUCAUAAAAAAAAAGACACACACAAAAUAACGCGCACACAUACACUGCCAAACACACACACAAACAGUGAGAUCAGGCGAACGUUGAACGGAGGGGGUUUCGGCCGGUUACCUUUUUUUUAUGAAUUUCUCGUUGGAUUUGGUCGUCUCUCAUUGGGAUUAGCCACCAGAAAUUAGGCUGCUGUCGAUUCCAAUUUUCUUGGGGAUACCCGUCGGGAGACGAGCGAACAGCAGCGACGUCGCCAGCUUCUUCAUUCCAAAAAAUUGGUUUUUAAAAUUGUUUAGCAUUGGUACUGAUUUGGAUUUGGGUAUUGUUUGUCUCGGUUUGGUUCGUUGUGGUCUAUUUCGGGUUGCAAUUUCUUGGUAUCGAGUUGAUUUCAUCGUUGUUGAAAUUUUCCUUUCGAGUCGAGUUUGGGAUUUAUUGACUCAUUAUUAUCAACAAAAAGUCCGUUCUUCUGAGGUCCAUCUCUCGACUUUACUCUUCUAUUAUUUUUAACUGGGUUGAUGCUGUGAUGUGGUGGUUUGUUUUUUAGUGUAUUUGAGUAAAUAAUGAUUGUCGUGGUUUUGAUCGUUCGAUUUCUGUCUUAAAAUUAAGUAACCAAUUGAUCGAGAAUUAAGGUGAAAUUGGGGCAAUAAUUAAAAGUUGAUAAACAUAAAUGUGGGUUUAUGCAGAUUCGUUACUGUUUGUUCAAAUCAAAAUGAACGUCAAUUAUGUAGACCUUGAUAGUAUCAUAUUUUAGGCCGAGGAUUGUUAGACAAAUCUUAGGUUUGGGGUAGGAAAAUUUAGAGAUUGUGGACUGUUGAAUGCUUGAAAUAUUUUUUGAAUGGUUUUGGUCUUCUCGCAUUGAAAAAAUGUAUUCAUUUAGCCGAGGAAUGCCCCGAGGUCAUUUGCAUUUAUUCACCAGGGAAUGCCCUAAUGUAUCUUGUAUGCAAAGGACGUUUGUGAUGAAGGCCCGAGGCAUCGGUUAAAACAUAGUUUAGGACUGGUGUAAGUUAGCGUAGGUUUACAUUUUAGUAUCUUUUAGUUCGGACUGUAAUAAUUGGACUGGACAUUAUUAUUUUGGACUUGUUUUGGUUUAGUUUGUUUGUUUUGUGUGUUUUUUUGGUUUAUACAUUUCAUGGUGUCAAAUUAGUUGAUAUGCUCCAUCAAGUGACCGUGAUCGAACCACGGGAUCGAGGGGUGCCUAACACCUUCCCCUCGGUCAACAGAAUUCCUUAACCAAAAUCUAUGUUCGUGGAUCAGUUUUAAAGAGUCAAAAUCAUUUUGAAAAAGGAUAUCCAAGGAUGACUUGGCACACCCGAUUUAUGCCAAGUGACGACUCUGAGUUUUGAAUAUAAAAGGUCCUUUGCGAAACAAAUCUUCAUUUUGUCACUUAAUAAUAAAAAUCCUUUCAAACCUUAAAAUGAAUCUUUUUGGUAAAAAAAGGGGGUGUGGCAGCUUUGGCGACUCUGUUAAAUAUUUUUCAGAAUUCGAGCUAAUUUUUGAGUCGUAUCGUCUUAGUUUGACACUAUGAGUUCAUGGAUGUUGUUUGUGCUAUUGUUGGUGUUAUUGUUUUAUCAUUAUUGAGUGCCUACGUUCUACGUGUUUAUAAUUUUUUAUUAUGUGUUACCGCUUUAUAUCUGUCAUCAUUUGCAUGUCUCGAGUCAAUUUUUUUUGCAACAAGUCCGUAGUACAUGUGUGUAUACAACUUCUAGUUGAGUCACCCUUAUUUUAGGAGGGAGAGACGUUGGGUGUAUGGAAUAGGUGGAAAGCUGUCGCAACCAUUAUCGACCAUACACUCCCCCGAACAGCCUUGUUAGUGAACCCGAGCCGAGGUUAGCCUUUAGGUCAUGUUUAUCUGCAUCAUAUUGAGACCUAGUGGGACCCACUUGGUCCUUUGUAAGAGACUCACCCGUAAAACAUCCUUACGUGCUAAUUAUCGCAUCUUUGAGGGUAAUAGGGUCAUUUGACGGACUGAUUUGGGAAAAAAAUAUGUGCUAGAAUUAAAGAAAGUGUGUGGGCAAGGAAAAAUUGAAAAAAGGGAGAAAAAGAAAAUGCGAGUCAAAAAAGAGUUUCAUAGUUUUUAGAGUUCUUUAUGGCUUUUGUUUUUCACAAUCCAAAAAUUUAAGAAGAUUUUUUUUACACAUAUUCUCAAAAUACAAAAACAUCAAAAAGAUUUUCAUUUGUCUCCUUUAGCAAGCAUUCAUAAUUCAAAACUUUUUUACAAAAAGAGAUUUUUUUUAUAUAAUAGGAGCUUUUUAUAAUGAAAUUAAGAAAGAUGGUAGAAGUUUUGAACAUUUCUUUUCAUGAAAAUAUCAAAAAAAAAUUCCUUUCUUAAUUAUUGGUGUCAGUUUUAUGUGAAGUGUCAAAUUAAAACCCCCAAAAAGAUUUCUUUGACGUUUCUCAUUGUAUGUUUGGUCGUGUUCCUUAUGUCGUAGCUCAAAUUAUUAGUUAGUUUUUAAUUGUCUAAGUUGAAUGAACUACGCAUACCUGAUUCUCGUUCCUCGAAGCGGGGUACGUAGGCAACCCUCGGUGGGUUCGGUAAUCUUUUAGUUUGGUCAUUGUCUUAGUCCUAGCCAUGGGUCACUUUUUAUCUUAGUUUUGUGUUGCUGGGCAUAGCCAAACAGGUUGAUUUCAUUAGCAAGGCCAUUCGAUGGAUUUGAGUUACAAGUCGGUCUGUCCCUCCAUGUCAUGCGAUAUUUCUCCAUGUUAAAAUUUUGAGGGUCGGGAGUUCUUUCUCUUUUAUUGAAUUUUGAGUUGUAAGUUUGGUGUGUUAUUACAGGAUGGAUCCGUUCACAGGGUCUUGAGUCUUGAUGGAUUUCAAGGUGCCCCAAAAGUUAAUCAAGCGGUGGGGCAUGUUCAACUACUCUGAGAAGCAAGAGCUAAUUAAAAUAUUGGGCGAUCUUAUGAAACUUUUGCAUAUCACCCCCGUCCAGAUCUAAUAUAUGUUGUGUUGACCUUCUGGGAUUCAAGUAGUUUGGUGUUUAGGUUUGGAAAGUGUGUAAUGACACCUACUUUGGCAGAAAUAUCCGGUUUAUUUCAUUUGCCUUAUAUCGAUAAAGGUAUGAUCCGAGCUCGAAAUCAUUCUAGCACAAGGUUUCUACAAGGUUUUGGGUUGAAGAGUAGUAACAGGCAUUUGGGUUAUCUGAAUCAAUCAUGGAUUUCCUUAGAAUUUUUAUUCGAUAGAUUCGGGUCCUUAGAAAGUUUUGAUUGCUUUUGGGAUAAAUUUUAUAUGACUAAGCGAAAUUGGGAAAGAAAGCAUCUUGAAGUCUUUACCCUCGCUUUGUUAGGCACUUCAGUGUUUCCACUAGAAGAAAGACGUGUUAAUACCCGUUUGCAAUCUGUAGUGAUGGCCUUAUUUCAUGAGGAGAAAGAGGAUAAGGUUACUAUCGUACCUAUGAUCUUAACAGAAAUAUAUACGGCUUUAACUAAAGUGAAGGGGGGAUGAAAUUUUUUGAGGGGAUUAACCUGAUAUUGCAACUGUGGAUAAUAGAACAUUUGCAUGCGCCUUCUUUAUUUAGAACGGAUGUGGUUGACCGUUGUUUGCCCAAUCAAGUGAAAGUCAUGGAACAUAGAAUACGCUUUGAUAAGUUCUCGCUGCCUAUAUGAGACGAUGCUUGGAUUGAAUUUCUCGAGUCAAGAACUAAAGAUAAUAUUUUGUGGACCUAUGUGUGGCUUCGUCCAAAAAUAAUCCUGUGUGGUUGUCGGAUGCAGCUCCUUCUAGUUUUGUUAGGACUCAAUUGCACUAGACCAUACUCUCCUCUUAGGGUAAUGCGCUAGUUGGGUAGAUUGCAAGACGUUCCACUAGUAAUGGAUCUUCUAAAGGAUGUUGAGCAUUUCAAGAACUAAGCCCUAGGUGAGAGAAAAUACGAACAGUUCUGGCAUCACGCAACAAAGCUAGGUGUGGAUACUCUCAAAGUAGGUUUGGACAAUCCGGGAUACACUCACAGAUACAAGAUCUGGCGAUAAUCCACACCUCGGGGCAUCAGUAGGCCAUUACCAGUUCAACUUAGAGGGCGGAUACGGGAAACAGACAUAGUUAAGGACAAUGAGGAUGAAUAUAGAGGUGCUAAAGUGGAGCUAUUGAGAGUUCAAUUAUCAGGUUUGCUUACAACUGUAGAAGGGUAUCAGAGAAAUCUUUUCAAGUGUACUUCUCAAGAGGAAGAAACACGUGCCAAAAGCUUCCUCCCCAAUAUCAAAGUGUCAUUGCAGGAUAUGUUACAAAGUUUGAGUGGGAGGGUGAAAACUUCACAGACAAGUCCAUCUCAGCCAGGGUCAUCACGCGGCACAGCAACUUAAAGGGGUUAUUUACUAUCUUUGCUUUGUUGGAGUCCUUUAUUUUUCAGUCAUUGUAUUAUUGUGUCUUUGUAGGUCGGUGUUAAGUUUGUUACAACAUUGGAAUCUUCAUUAGGAGUGUUACGUAUGUUGUCCUGUUGGUUUAGAGUGUUGUUCAGUUUUUGUGUGAUUAUUAUCAAGGUUGUCUUAAAUUCAAAGCCUAUUUUAGUUGUUUCUUUUAUGAAAAAUGUAGUGAUGUUGCAUUGUUCUAUCUUUUGUUUGUUUUCAUCUUUUUAAAAAAAUAAAAUAAAAUCAAUAAAAUAUCAAAAAAUAUUCAAUUCUAUGGUAUUUAUGCAUAUUUCUCGAACUACACAAGAUCUGAUUCAUGUACCACAUGAUACGUAGGCAACCUAUUUUUAGGUUCGAUCUAAUCAUUUUGUUUUUUUGAUUCACUUUUUCCUCAAUUUUCCUCUUUUAAAGAAAAACAAAAGCCAUAAAGAAUGAUUAAAAAAAGAAAUAGUGAGAGAAGAAAAAAGAAAGAAAGAAUAGUGAGAGAAGAAAAGGAAGGAAAAAAAGACGGAUGCAAAAAAGAGAGAAACGAGGGCGAAAGGUAGAAAAGAACGAGGUGUAAUGGGAAGGUAAGAAGUAAGUGUAAGGAAAAGAUCAGGAUGAUGUUAAAAUGACCUCUUUACCUGCAAAGGCUGGUAGACAUGCGAAUGAAUCUAGGAUAUUACAUGUAUGUAAUAUGCUUGCCAUGUUUAUUGUGACCUAAUCCUAAUGGGUUUUCUCUUUGAUGAGGAUGUUCGUUCAGAUAAAAGUGGUUGGUUUGUAGCACUCUGGCUAGUCAUCUUUAUUUUAAAAGGUCAAAAGCAAAGCUUGCCAUGGCUAACAGGGAGAUCGAAAAUUAGCCCAUUGACCUAGAUCGGGAUCCUAGAGAAGAAAGUUUAGAACCCAAUGAUGAGAUAUUGAGACUCAUACAACAAUUGAUCGAUAUGUACCGAGCAUGGGCAAGUGGCAUGCCUCCUCUUCCAUUCCCUGAAGAUCUUGGGAACAUCUCCAAUUACCGCUGCUCUCCUGGGUGUAAUUUUCUGCUCCCGCUGAGUCACUCGAGCACGCACCAGGAUUCACUCCACAUCAGUAUUAUCCUGGCACUUCUAGUAUGCCCUUGGCAGUUUCCCGACCAAGGCCUACUGCUCAGCCAGCACCACCUGAAGCACCUGUGUUCGUGGCUCCAUCACCAUCUGAAGCUCCUAGUUAUGUUGUACGUCCAACAAUUAUACUCCCUCGGUCUGCCAGUGAACUAGUGUUUAAAAUGCCAGAGGAUUAGCAACAUGCUUCGGAGCCUACCUUGAAGAUGAAUGAUCCAUAUUGUUACAAUCAGCCUCCUGUAGUUUACUUUGAUACAAAGAAACCUAUUGCAACCAAAGAACAGGAAGGCAUAUCACGGAAAUUGAAGAGUUUGGAACAGGCCUUGAGAAACCUACAGGGACUCGGGGGUUAUAAGAGUGUUUCCUAUAAAGAUUUAUGUAUGUUCCCAGGCGUUAACCUUCUUCUUGGCUUUAAGACGCCAAAGUUUGAGACACGAUGAUCUCGUUGCACAUUUGAGACGUUAUUAUAACCAAUUGAGGGGUGUAGGAGGAAAAGAAGAGUUACUCAUGUCUUACUUUAGUGAAAGUCUUUUCGGUCUGGCUUCGAAAUGGUUCGUUGGUCAGGAUAUCGAUAAUAGCUGGGAUGACCUAGCUAACGAAUUCGUGAAACAAUUUUAGUACAAUGCAGAUAUGAUUCCCGAUAAGAAUUCCCUGGCUAAUAUGGAGAAGAAAAGUGUUGAAAGCUUCAGGGAGUAUGCGAUAAGGUAGCGUGAACGGGCUGCCAAGGUAAAGCCUCCGAUGAUGGAGAACAAAUUGGUAGAGGUCUUCAUUCAGGCAUAAGAUGAGACCUAUUUUCAACACUUACUUUCAGUGAUGGGUAAGUCGUUUGUCGAAGUCCUUAAAUUGGGAGAAAAGAUAGAAGAGGGAAUUAAGAUAGGACGAAUUGUGAGCUUUGCCACAUUAAAGACAACCACCUAAGCAAUUUAGAGUGGUUCUGGAACUUUUAGAGGGAAGAAGAAGAAGGAGGAUGUAGCAGCUGUUGUAGUUGCGCUACAUGCAUAUUCAAAAAGACCACCUAACUCUAAUCUCCAAUCUCAAGCCCAAGUCUAUGCCCAAGCUCCAUAUAUUUCCCCCCAUCAUUACUACCCUCCACAAAAUUUAUUGUAUCCCAUUCUACUACCCCUAUACCCAGUAUAUAGUGCAUAACCAUACGUUCAAACCCCUUCUCACCCAUAAUGGCAUGCGCCAAUCCCUCAUAAUCGUCCUUCAGCUCCAUAAAAUUACCAAACCCUUCCAAAUAUGGUUUUCAACCUAGGCUCGAGUUCAAGAAAGAUAAGACAGUCAAGAAUGAUUUCACACCCAUCGGGGAGUCGUAUACUAGUUUGUUUCAGAGGCUAAGAAAUUUUAAUGUCUUGAGCCCAAUCUAAGAAAAGCUUUUAAAUUUGCCUCCAAGGAACCUUGAUUAUUCUCUAAGGUGUGCAUACUGUUCUGAUAUGCCUGGGCAUGAUACAGAAAGAUAUUGGUAUUUGAAUAGAUCAAUUCAGGAUCUGAUCUACACAAAUUAGAUUAUGAUACAAGCCCCGGAGGUUCCAAACAUCAAUCAAAAUCUAUUGCCGGCCCAUGCUGAAACAAACAUGUUGGAGUUGAUAUACGAAGGUAAAGAGUAUAUGGUGUCUCAUAAUCCAAUCGUUAGGAUCCCAACUAACAAGGAGAAGUCGAUAAAUAUUGAGGAUUCGAUGAAGGCAAUGCUUUGAUCCUAAAGGAGACGAUAGAAGAGAAAACUUAAGGAAACAACAAAAAACCUAUGCUGACUGUUAAAGGAGUAUAAAAAAUUAUUGGUCUGAGUCAGGGUAAGCCAAAGUUAAUGGUAUUGGGAGCCCUAAGCAAGCCUAUUUUGACUAUGAAAGGGGUACUUUCGGUGCCUAUUAUCAUUAAGCCAGUGACACAACUCCCAUUGAUCGACCCCAAAAAGUUUUUUAGAAUUAUAAGCAGAUUGUGAUGACUUAUCAAGGGAAGAAAAUUAUGGAUGAAGUGAAUAUAGUUGGGGGGUUUACUCUUUCAGGAAGGUGUUUUGUUCCAGAAAGUCUAAGUCAGUGAUGAAUAACCCGUCGUCUCUCAAAAAACCCAUCGCCGAGGAAAAAGAUGAAGAGUUUUUAAAGAGGUUGAAAUUACCUGAAUACUCAAUUAUAGAUUAGUUGAGGAAGACCCCAGCUCAAAUUUCUCUUCUUUAUUUGAUGUUACAGUCUGAUAAACAUCGUAAUGCUAUGCUGAAGAUGUUUAAUGAAUCUUAUGUUCCUAGAGAAAUUAUGGUGAAUCAGUUGGAUAAAAUUAUUGGAAAGAUCUUUGAGGUAAACAGGAUUGUCUUUUCUAAUGAUGAAUUGCCUAUGGAAGGGACGGGGCAUAAUUGGGACCUUUACAUUACUGUGAAGUGUGAAUACUUCUAUGUCACUUGGGUCAUGAUUGAUGGAGGUUCUGGUGUAAAUAUUUAUCCUCUAUCUACCUUGCAAAAGUUGAAUAUCAGUAUCGAGAGGAUUCGACUCAACAAUGUGUGUGUCAGAGCUUUUGAUGGAGUAAAAAUAGAUUCCAUUGGUGAAAUAGAGCUAAUGUUGACUAUAGGGCCUGUCGAAUUUGCUAUAGAGUUUCAAAUAUUAAAUAUUGACGCCUCUUACAAUUUGCUGUUGGGAAGACCAUAGGUUCGUAAGGCUAGGGUCAUCGCAUCUACGCUGUACCAGCUGAUCAAGUUUGAACACGAUAAGCAGGAGGUGAUCAUUCACAUUGAAUGGGAUUUGUCCAUCUAUAAAGACUCGCGCAUGCCCUUUGUCAAGGCAAAUAAUGCAGAGGUGACAUUGGUUUAUCAAUCUUUUGAUGCAGUAUUUGUGGAUCAUAUCUGUGAAGGACAUGUUAUGCCAGGGCCACUGUUAUCUCCUACUUCUGUCAUGAUGGUUAAUGAGAUAUUGAAAUACGACUUUGAGCUAGGAAAGGGUUUAGAAGUAUCUUUGCAUGGUAUAGCUCUUCCAAUAUGUCUAAGUGAUAAGCUAGGUAAUUUUGGUUUAGGGUUCAAACCUACAGUUGAAUAUUGGAAAAAGGACAAAAAGCAAAAGAAGGAAACAUGGUCACUCCACUGCCAAGUGCCACUACUCAGUAAGUCAUUUGUCAGAAGCAGUGUUAUCAAGCCCAUACAGGAGGUGAAAGCUGAGUUAAUGAUUUUCAGAACCUGCUCAUUAAAGCUGAUAUGGUUUAAGUAGGAGACGGUACCAAUAAGGAAGAUGUGCAGUUCAUAGGUCCUGAUGUCCAGCUCAGCAAUUAGAAAAUCACUCAUUUCCCCGUCAGGAGGGAGUUUUGGUAGCUUGUUUUGUUUUUCUUUCUAUUAUCCAAGUUAUUUUAGGAUUGUAAUUCGGGAUCUAUCUUGUUAAUAUUUUUUACUAUCGCUUAUGUCUAAACCCUUCUAUAUUUCUUUGUAAUGAAAUGCAAUGCCCUUUUUGUUUUGUCUCUAAUAUGUUUCAUUUGCCUUUUCUUUAUAUAGUUCUCUUUAUGCUGAUUCUAGUGAUAUGACAUGCAUGCAGAAUUUUCAGCCUGAACUUAAAAUCCAAUCUAAUCAAGAUAUAAUAAAGUAAGUGGUGGAAUAUGAUCAAGAAGAGGCAUCGGAAGAAAUAAGCAAAGAGUUGCAACAAUUUGAAGCCAAGUUGAAUCCUAAUUUGAAUGAAACUGAGUCAAUUAAUCUUGGAGAUCAGGAAUAGGUUAGGGAAACUAAAAUAAGUAUACAUGCUUUGAUACAAUUAAAAGAAAGGAUGGUCCAAGCAUUAAUUGAUUAUAAAGAAGUUUUUGCGUGGUCCUAUGAUGAUAUGUCGGGUUUAAGCACCGAGUUAGUGGUCCACAAGUUGCCGACUACCCUGCGAUUUCCCCUCUCAAACAAAAGUUAAGAAAAUUUAAAACUGAUUUAAGCAUGAAAAUUAAAUAGGAAAUCAUGAAACAGAUCGAAGCUAAGGUCGUUCCAGUUAUUCAUUAUCCUAAUUGGUUGUCCCAAAGAAAGACGACAAGGUUCGAGUGUGUGUCGAUUAUCGUGAUUUGAAUAGGGUAAGCCUGAAAGAUGAUUUUUCACUACCCAACAUUCCUUUUCUGUUAGAUAAUUAUGCUUAACAUGAGGUUGAUUCUUUUGUGGAUUGUUAUGCUGGGUACCACCAAAUAUUUAUGGAUGCUGAUAAUGCAGAAAAGAUAUUUGUCAUCACAUCUUAGGGUACUUAUUGUUAUCGAGUGAUGCCGUUCGGUUUGAAGAAUGCUGGGGCAACAUACAUGAGGGAAAUGACCACUAUGUUUCAUGAUAUGAUCCAUAAGAAAAUUGAAGUCUAUGCGGAUGUUGUGAUUAUUAAGUCCAAAAACCAAACUGAUCAUGUUAAAGAUCUAAGGAAGUUCUUCGAGAGGCUUCGCAGGUAUGAUCUCAAACUCAAUUUGGCAAAAUGUGUAUUUGGAGUUUCAUCUAGGAAGUUGUUGGGGUUCGUGGUCAGUCGUCGAGGUAUUGAAUUAGUUCCUUCAAAGAUCAAGGUUAUUCAGGAUUUGUCAUUACCUAAGAAUAGAAUAGAGGUGAUGAGUUUUCUCGGUAGGCUGAACUACAUCAGUAGAUUCAUUGCUCAACUCAUAACCACUUGUGAGCCCAUUUUCAAUUUGCUGAAGAAGAGUGCCGUUGUUGAAUAGAAAGAGGAAUGUCAGGAGGAAUUCGACAAAAUCAAAAGGUAUCUGUUGAAUCCGCCUGUGUUAGUACACCUAAGCCUGGUAGGCCCUUGAUUUUAUACUUAUCAGUUAUGGAUAAUUCCUUUGGUUAAGUGUUGGGUCAACAUGAAAUCAUGGGAAAAAAGAAGCAAGUCAUCUAUUAUCUUAGACAAAAGUUCACGAUGUAUGAAGACAAGUACAUUCUUCUUAAAAGAAUGUAUUGUGCCCUAACUUGGGUAGCACAAAAGUUAAAGCAUUAUCUUUUAUCCUACACUACUUUUCUUAUCUCCUGCAUAGAUUAUUUAAAGUAUAUCUUUAAAAAACCUAUGUCAACGGGUCAAAUUACAAAAUGGAAAAUAUUGCUUACUGAGUUUGACAUCGUGUAUGUGACUCAAACCGCCAUUAAAGCUCAAGCAUUGGUGUAACACCCCGUGUUUUUCCUAGAUUAAAGUUCAUUUCUAGAAUGUUAAGAGUGUGAUUCAAAAAUGAAUAACCUUUAUUUCAUAUGGAAUUUUCUAGAUUUACACCUUCCAUUGUGUGAAAAAUUGAAUAAGUUUUCCAUCAAUACCAAAUUCGCCCAAUUCCGGCACUCGGUGAAGAAGUUAGAGCAUUUUUAGUAAUGUAGUGUCCCACCUGGGCACGCAUCACAUCGCAGUGGAUGCCAAAAUGACAAUCAUCACAUUCCAGUGGACCUUCGCGAUAUUGGCGCAUUGCGGAGAGGUCCAAAUUUCCAAUUGUCAAUUUUCAGUGGCUCAACGCAAUAGCACCGCGUCGCGCCAGAGUGCAAAUUCACACUCGUCUUUUUUAGUAGCUUAACGCGAUUUCAAUGUGUCGUGGUGAAGGUGUAAUUGUCGUACUCUUCAUCUAUAAUUCGAAUUCUUGUGUCAUGACUUUAAUCCUAAGUAUGUGAAGUCCUUAUUAGGUGAAUAAUGUUCAUAGAAGUCAUUUAGAGCCAAGUGGAGCUAAGAACAUUAGAUUCAUCCAAAAUUUGACAUUCAAUCCUACAAGGGUCUAUUUUAAACGUGUAUAACCUUUUAUAUACAUAGAUUUUUCCAUCUCAAGCCGACCAAAUUGUAGAUAAUUUAAUUAUCUUUUCGACGAUACCAAUUUCGCAAAAAUCCGAUGCCCGAGCAAAAAGUUAUAGCCAUUUUAGUGUGAGGCGGUAAGCUGCCGCGAUGGUAGCGUGUCGCGCUGAAGGACAAAAUCGGGAUAUGGGUUACGAAUUUCUUCUUUAAAUUAAUGAGGGUCAAUGGGGUCUUUUUGCCCCUCAACCCAGGUCGUAAAAACAGAGGAUUAAGGGUGAUAUUGAGCAAAUUACACCCCCUUUUUCAUCAAAUUCUCUCAUCUAGAAACCCUAAGUUUCAUCACCCAAAUUCAAGAAUCUCCUAAAGUUCACCAUUAAUUCUCCAAGUUGGAUCAAGAUUCCAAGUUCUUAGUUCAAGAACUCCAAAAACCCUCAUUCAAGAGUACAAAUAUCAUCUCAUAAGCAAGUUGUUCAUCCAAGUUUAUCAUCCAAGGUAUGUGGGGUUUGAACAAGAACAACUCUUUCAUUCUUGGGCCCAAAAGCUUACUUUAAGUUAUAAAUUUCUGAAUUUUGAUAUGAUUUCCAUGAAAUUUAAGUUAGGUUUAUACCCCUUGUUGCUAAUUGCAUGAUUUUGAGAUUUAAAGUGAUUUGGAUAUUGAGUUACAUGUCUACUUUCAAAUAUUUAUGUACAUGAUUAUAUUUUCCAUAUUUUAAGUUGAAUUAUGAAAAAUUGUGUUAUAAAGCAUGAACUUUAUGGUGUUUGAUAUAAAUUUCAAGCAUGGGCUCAAAGACCUAAGAUUUAGUCUUGAUAUUUCAAGAAUGAUCAUGAUUUAAGUAUCCCUUUCAUAGCUAUUUUCAGAUUUUGAUAAAGAAAGUUGAUCCUUUGAAACAAGCUAAGAUAGGAAUCCACAUUAUUCAUCAUCUAUGAUUUAAAGCAAGAAGUAUAAUUGGUCUUCAUUUUAGACCCUCGUAUUGUUUUAAGGUAGAUUUCCUAAAAGUUUUGAGCAAGUAUGGGAGUAGUAUUUAGCACCGAUUUGGGCUUGAUUUCGAGGUCUCAUGCCCUAGAACUACGAGCCAUCGUAGGUUUCUAAUUUACCCCAAGUGGGUUAAGAUAGUGAUCACUAAAGUUAAGGUUCUAUUCCGAUGACAAAGGUAAAAUAGAUGUCGGUUAAGAUAGUGAUCACUAAAGUUGAGGUUCUAUUCCGAUGACAAAGGUAGAAUAGAUCUCCCCAAUGUGGGUAAGACAUUGGACUCCAUGUCAGCUCACAUGGUUUAUGUCGGUUAGAAGAAACUCGCAAAAGAAGUUCCCUACUCUUUUUAAGAUAAAGUAUAUAUAUUUUGAAAGUUAAUAUUUUAAGAUCUCCAAAGUUGUACGUCCCAAAAUCUCUAAAAGUGUUAUGGUCUAAAAGUUCCUUAAGUUUUAAAGAAGUUCUACUCUCUUAAAGAUAAAAGCAUGAGUUUUGAAAAUAUUGUUUAAAAAUUAUUUUAGCUUAUAAGUUUUGAGAAUAAGAGGAGAAUACCGAUUUUUGAGUUAAGUAUGAUGAAUUACGAGAUUUAUAUUACAUGUUUCACCAUUCAUAAUUUAUGAGAUUUACAUUUCAGAUUUAUUCAAGCCAUGUGAGUCAUUCAUAUUUGCAUGCAUGAUUUAUGUAUAGAGUAACGAUAUUGUUCAUUUAAAUGCAUACACCCCCAUAUACUCAGUACAUCCUCAAAGUGCUGAUUCACAUAAAUGUCUAUAUGCUAUAUUGUUUUAUAAUAUAGGUACAAGUCAUAGCUCACAUAUCAUAAUCAGACAGGUUGCAGCUUCCCG
rnacentral:lncRNA from 1 species